UACAGAGGUCUCAAGCGUUGUUCGGAUUCAUUGGGCGUAAAGGGUGCGUAGGCGGCGCGGUAAGUCGGAUGUGAAAUCUCGGAGCUUAACUUCGAAACUGCAUUCGAUACUGCCGUGCUUGAGGACUGGAGAGGAGACUGGAAUUUACGGUGUAGCGGUGAAAUGCGUAGAUAUCGUAAGGAAGACCAGUGGCGAAGGCGGGUCUCUGGACAGUUCCUGACGCUGAGGCACGAAGGUUAGGGGAGCAAACGGG
rnacentral:rRNA from 1 species